rnacentral:lncRNA from 1 species
GAGGCCAUCCUGAUGAAUAUGAGGUGGUAGAGCUGCCUGCUUUUUGAUUAACGUGACGAUCACACCCUCUGCCUGGGAGUUUUACAGAAUGGUGAUGACUUUUUGUGGCAUCUCCGGAAAGAACAUAACUUCAUGGACGUCCUUAGUCAGAAUCUACUCAGUAUAUCUACUCGGUAUAGGCUCACGUGAGACUCACCUGCUGAGGGAGUCACAACCUCUACUAUACUUCUUCCUUUUGCUCUGCCCCCCACCAACCACCCUGCCAGCCCUCACCACCUAGAGGGAAAUUGGGAGCCGGUAGAGGAAAGACACCCUAAAUCAAAGCAAAGCCCCGGGGAGGCACCAUGGGAUCCCUGCCUCGGUCCUGCCUACACAGUAUGUGAAUGAGUCUCCCAAAGAUUCUCCCCGCUGUGACCUCCAGGGCCAGCCUGCCUGUGUAGCCGUGAGCUGCUUUCUUCCCAGAGGAACUUGCUCGAGGCAGCAGGACUCCACAGCCUCAGGGGUGGCCUGGGCCUCGGCAAAGUGGGGAGCUGCCUUGGUCCAGCAGGGGUCCAAAUCACCUCCUCAUUUAAAGGGACCAUGUCUCUAGAGAGAAGAUGACAUGCCAAAAAUGAAAACCUCACAGGAGCUUUUUUUCCACCUGCAAGUGAGGUACAGACACGUUUGAGAUGGUGGAUGGACUUUUUUUUCCCUUUUCUCUCUUUCCAAAAUCUGGACACACCAUGGCCCAGUGAUGGAGAAGAAGUCGAGAACCUGGCAAGGAUCUUCUUUCUUAGGAGUGGCGGAGGGCUGACCAGUCUCAAUAAAGCACAGGGGGAGCCCCUGU